rnacentral:rRNA from 1 species
GACGAACGCUGGCGGCGUGCCUAAUACAUGCAAGUAGAACGCUGAAGGAGGAGCUUGCUUCUCUGGAUGAGUUGCGAACGGGUGAGUAACGCGUAGGUAACCUGCCUGGUAGCGGGGGAUAACUAUUGGAAACGAUAGCUAAUACCGCAUAAGAGUAGAUGUUGCAUGACAUUUGCUUAAAAGGUGCAAUUGCAUCACUACCAGAUGGACCUGCGUUGUAUUAGCUAGUUGGUGGGGUAACGGCUCACCAAGGCGACGAUACAUAGCCGACCUGAGAGGGUGAUCGGCCACACUGGGACUGAGACACGGCCCAGACUCCUACGAGAGGCAGCAGUAGGGAAUCGUCGGCAAUGGACGGAAGUCUGAACGAGCAACGCCGCGAGAGUGAAGAAGGUUUUCGGAUCGUAAAGCUCGGUUGUAAGAGAAGAACGAGUGUGAGAGUGGAAAGUUCACACUGUGACGGUAUCUUACCAGAAAGGGACGGCUAACUACGUG